rnacentral:lncRNA from 1 species
UACCCCAUCAUGCAUAUACAUAGUUCGUUUAGUAGGGCAAUUAGAAGCAAUAUGUCCAUAGCUUAAGCAUUUAAAACACUUCUUACUAGACGAUUUAGGUGGUGAUUUAGGCCUAGAAUUGGAAGUGGAAGGCUUAGACUCUCUAGGUUUGAAAGUAGAGUCCUUAGAAGGGAUAUUUGAAAAAGAGUUAUUUUUAUUUUUCCAAGAAGAGUGGUAGUAGUUAUCCUUAGAAGAAUUUUUGAAAGCAUUUUUCCUUGCAAGUUGAUUUUCA